rnacentral:lncRNA from 1 species
GUUUUUACAUGCAGGAAGAGAGAACAAGUGCAGGCAACGUCCAAGGUCCUCUUGUUUUGCAGAUCACUGCACAACAGACCCUCAGGUAGAACAAGUUUAGAUAGUGACUCUUAACCAAAGUACAAGUUAGCAUCACCUGGAAGACUUUACUAACCAUGGUUGGCUGAGAGUCUGUGGGAGCAGAAGAGGAAACUGAGGCUUUAGAGAACUGUAGCACAUUGGCAAGGACAUCCAGCUCAUAAACAAUCCAUCAGAAAAGUGAGGUCACUGAGCAACCCACCACCCAAAACCUGGACAGACAGAGAAAUACAGAAGCAUGGCUUACAGAGAGCAGAAGCAGCUGCUGGAGCCACCAUCUGGUAGAAACACUUCAGGGAUGAGAAAACAGUGACCUGGAGACAGUUAUUUCACCAACAAAGGCAGCCAGCACUUCUCAGUUCCAUCAUACAGAGAACAUUUUGCUGAGAUGACACCAACUUCCAGUUCUUCACAAAGAUGCAGCCCUCAGCCUUCAGCAUGAGAACAGGGACAUCAGCCUGCUUUGCCCAUGGAACUGUCUCCAGAGCCUACAACAAUGCUCAGCCUAUGAGAGGUGUCUCCUAGAAGACUUUCCAUUUCAACAAGCCUCAUUUAUAUGCAACUGGCAAUUUCUCUAAACAGAAGAAAAGGGGAGAUUUUGCCAAUCAAUUGGCUUCACCAUCCCCCAGCCCCAAAGUGUGUUUAAGAACAUUUGCCUGUGCAUGCAUGUGUUUUCCUUUGCAUCCCACAAGAGGAAGGGUCUCGCUCUGUGGCCCAGGCUGGAGAGUAUGGUGCAAUCAAGGCUCACUGCCCCAUGUUCAAGCCAUCCUCCCACCUCAGCCUCCCAGAUAGCUGGGACUAGAGACACACAUCACCACGCAUGGCUCUGGGUUACUUCAAUAAGUAUUUUUCAAUAAAUAUUUCUUCAAUAAAUAUUUAAUAACACAAAGCUCAUGAAAAUUUAUCUCUAUUAUUUCUUGGAAUAUUGUGGCCAAUUUUAGAUGGUCCAAAAUUGUGAUCUUUUCAUUUUUAUUAUAUGCUGGUUUAGAAUAGAAAUUUUCUAAUUAAAAAUAGCAUCAUCAUUAAAAUAUUCUUCUUCUAAGUCAAGAUUAUCCAAAGUAUAGCAAAUGCCAAAAUCAUUUCAUGUAGACUCUCUGAUCUCCCCUCAUCGGAUGUGUUCUCUGCUUCUGUGGUUCUGUAGGAAUAAAGAGCACUCUCUCCCUGUUAGCAAAUUUU